GAUGAACGCUGGCGGCGUGCCUAAUACAUGCAAGUCGAGCGAACAGACGAGGAGCUUGCUCCUCUGACGUUAGCGGCGGACGGGUGAGUAACACGUGGAUAACCUACCUAUAAGACUGGGAUAACUUCGGGAAACCGGAGCUAAUACCGGAUAAUAUAUUGAACCGCAUGGUUCAAUAGUGAAAGACGGUUUUGCUGUCACUUAUAGAUGGAUCCGCGCAGCAUUAGCUAGUUGGUAAGGUAACGGCUUACCAAGGCAACGAUGCGUAGCCGACCUGAGAGGGUGAUUGGACAGCCUGGAACUGAGACACGGCCCAGACUCCUACGGGGGGCAGCAGUAGGGAAUCUUCCGCGAUGGGCGAAAGCCUGACGGAGCAACGCCGCGGGAGUGAUGAAGGUCUUCGGAUCGUAAAACUCUGUUAUUAGGGAAGAACAAAUGUGUAAGUAACUAUGCACGUCUUGACGGUACCUAAUCAGAAAGCCACGGCUAACUACGUG
rnacentral:rRNA from 1 species